UUAAAUUUUUGGAAACUCUAUGGAGUAUACUAACCAGCUUGUGUUGCAAGUUGAAGUGGGGCCACUGGGCCAUUUCCUGACGCCACCAGUAUCGAAUGUUUGUUUUGUGUGGUAAAUCGUGUGAACUACAGCUUAUAUCGCUGCCAUUCUCACAAUUUUGUAUAGGUGAUCUGUCUGUGUAUGAACUGAGAAAGUGUUCUGUGCUGACAGUGCGACAAAGUGGUACGAAGUGGUUCGUACUGAUGGAUCCAGAGCCCAAGCUAGUGUCGGGCCCCUCGCUACGUCCGUCGUACGUGCGUUUUGUGAACAAGACAAGCCGCCAGGUCGACGUCAUUUGGCUCAACUAUGACGGCAGGCGCGUCAAGUACAAGAGCCUCAGUCCAAGUCAGAUGGUUGAUGUGGACACUUUUGUCAACCACCCAUGGAUCUUUCGGGAUUCGUUCACCAAAGACCGUCUGGUUGUUCGUCACAAGGAGGUCUUCCAGCCUCCCGAAACGUCCCGUUGUGGCCCUGAUGGGCAACCCCAGUACAUUCGCAAAGUGGUUCUCAUCACCCUGCCAGUGUGCUCUCUGAAGGAAAUCUGUUUUCAACAAAUAAGGCAAUCUAUCACGUCACCCGAGGCCAUCUUUGAGACGGGCAUCCCAAGCUCGCUGAUGUGGGAUUACCUCCUCUUCCUUCAGCGGGAUUGAAGCAUGUGCCUGUCAAGUUCAGCAACAGACCAUCUUGGAGUUACUGUAUAUGCUACCUUUAGGUAGCAGAGUUGCGCCACUGAUAGAACUCACCGCGCGCGCCCCCCAUUCGUGAAGCGUGCUCACGUGCGCGAAAAAUCGUUCAUAUUAGGAGAAGCUAACUUUACGCCCGCGCGGGUGCUUGCGACACCGCACCACUGGUGUCACCACCGCUGCUGCCAGGCUGGUGAGGCAAUCCUGCUGAGUGCGGAAGUACUUGUGUUGGCGUUGUAAUUGGGUCUCGUCUUGUCCGUUUUUAGUGGACGUCAGUGUUAGUGGUGUGUGUGGGGCGCAGUGCCGUGACAGUGCUGCAUAGUUGCCACAAGACCGGAUUCCACAGCUACGUGUACAUAUGCAGAAAAUUUUCGUUUGCUUGCGUUAUUUGUAAAACCCGGAGGGAUAUAGUUCCAGUGAUUGUUUUAUCAAGCCAACUGCUUAAUCGUUCCAAGGGGUCAAAAACUAUGCGAGACGAGGGAUUUGCAGAUCUUAAGUUGUCACGAAUCGUGUACACGAAUCUCAACAAAGUCAAAGUGUUCUUGUUUGCUAUUUAAAACAAAAAUAUCGUCCUAUGGUGACAUUAUUUAUUUAGGUGUUCUUUUUUUUUUUUUUUUUCAAAGUGAAAGUCAUUGCGCCAGAAACGAAGUAUUGAUUGAUUCGGGGGUUUAACGUCCCGAAACCACCAUAUAAUUAUGAGAUAUGCCAUAGUGGAGGGCCCAGGAAAUUUUGACCACCUGGGUUUCUUGAACAUGCACCCAAACUGAGCACACGGACCUACAGCAUUUUCGCCUCCAUCGAAAACACAGCCGCCACAGCCGGGAUUCGAUCCUGCGACCUGUGGGUCAGUAGCCGAAUACCUUAGCCACUAGACCACAGCAGCAAGGCAGCGACGAGUUUUGAAGGAGCAAGAAAACGUACGGAGCCACUGGGCUGCGUUGGCUCCUACAUUUAGAAGGGGCGACUUUUCUAUGUGACAUGAAUGUCUCAGCGGGCAAGAUGGCAGACCUAUGCACAACUCUGCUACCUAAAGGUAGCAUAUACAGUAACUCUAGACCAUCUAGUCACCUGCAGUCACCAAGUGGCCUGUAUACGAACACUGGCAGCAGUAUGUAUGUUGGAAUCCAAGUGAAGACUAGUGAGGAAAGGACAAGCAGCUGGGAUGUCCAAGUGACAGAAGAGUGAUACUCAGCAUAAUGCUACGGCCAAGGUAGCUGGUGUGAUGGAUCAUGUGGCAGUGGUGACAGGUGGAAUAAGGGCACCAGCAUGGAUGAUAUCCCUGGAAGCACUCUUUGGGUCUAAGUCGUGGAGUUCGGAGGGUCAUUCCACGCCAAACGCCCAAGACAUUACACUCUACGCUUGCUGAUUCUGUUCCAAAAAGUUGUUUCCCAUCAUUUUAGUGCAUUAUUUCUUAUCGUGCAGUAUUUUUGCAAGAAAAAAAAAAGAUUUUUCUGUCUCGUACAGC